rnacentral:rRNA from 1 species
CCCUUAGAUGUCCUGGGUCGCACGCGCGUUACACUGAUGCAUUCAACGAGCUUAUAACCUUGGCCGAGAGGCCUGGGCAAUCUUGUUAACGUGCAUCGUGAUAGGGAUAGAUUAUUGAAAUUAUUAAUCUUGAACGAGGAAUUCCUAGUAAACGCAGAUCAUCAAUCUGCAUUGAUUACGUCCCUGCCCUUUGUACACACCGCCCGUCGCACCUACCGAUUGGAUGGUCCGGUGAAGCCUCGGGAUUGUGGUUCUUGCCGCUUUAUUGUGGCGUGACCGCGAGAACUUGUCUAAACCUUAUCAUCUAGAGGAAGGUGAANUCGUAACA